rnacentral:lncRNA from 1 species
CAGAGCUGGACCCUGACCUCUCAGAGGAGGCCAGCUUUGCGCUGGCCCCCAUUUCUUCCUCUUAUUUGGAGCAGGAUGCGAAUAGUCACAUACAGAGAGAUUGGGUGCUGAUGAGUCUGAGCUUAAGCAGCCACUGUUGACAGCCAUUGUGGGGAAAUUAAACUAUGCUAUCUUUAGACCUUGGGACCUAUUAGAGGCGGACCUACUAGAGGUCUAGCUGCUUCUCAGUGAAGGAAGCCACCUUCCCCUGGUGUUUGGGUGCAGCUCUUCCCUUUGGGAUGUAGAGAAAUUAGGCAUGGCCUCUGAAGGUAGGUUACCUGGGUGGAAAAUCCCAGCUCCGCCAUAAUAGCCUGUGUAAUUUGGGGCGUGGUAUUUAAUCUAAAGCUACCUUUAUUUCCUCAUCUGUGAACUGAGAAUUAAUGGUAAACAUAUGCAGAGUCGGUGAGGGUUAAAUAAAUGAGCAAACACUAAAAUGAUGUAUAAGAUGACUUAGAAUUAUUCUUUAAGUGGUAGCUAUGAUUGUCACGUCACCUUUCCAUGUAAGUGCGCACGCAUGAGAGGGGAUCACCGUGUCAGGUGAUGGCAGUGCAGUGAUGAGGUUCCUGUAGCCUUACAAAGUCAUGGUCUCUCUCACCAGUGGCGGGAUGUUACAUACUAGUGUUAUUGGCAUUUUGUCUAAUUUUAAUAAAAAAUUAUUCUGUCAUUGUACCACCUUUUACUGGUCACAGAAUCUGAGAUGAGGGAAAAAAAAGAAAUGCUUAACUUAUUCUGGAAGGCUGUACAUCUUUAUUUUUUCUUUCCAUUGAAAUAUGUGCAACACUAGAACAAGUUUUAAUGUAAAAAUAAUGUUUGCCCGUGUAAAGGAGGCGCUUCAAAUUUUAGCUUGAGGAUUUGGCUAUAGACUUAUAUUACUUUCAGCUCAUGAUUUAGUUUGCAAGAAAAAUUAACCAAUAUUUGAUACAAUAUGACAUUUUGAAUUGAUGAUACAUAAAAUGUGAUUCUAUUUUAUAAUCAAAGGAAUCAUCAGUAUUAAACAAGUUUUAUCCAUUUGUGUUAUUAUAACAUCUAUCAUUAUAAGAAUGUUUUAAGAUUGCAUAUGGCAUUUAAUAUUGCUUUGUGAAGUACCAUAAUUUUGAAAAAUACAUUAUAAAUGAUAGUAUUCCUAUGAUAAUAUACAAAUGAUAAGCAAAAGAAUGUUCUGUGUCAGUAGGUGGACUUAGAGGGCAAAUUGGUUUGAAUUAUAUUUAGAGUCUCAGAUGGCACUCCCUGUUGGGAUUGGCUCAAGGACCUGACUAGAAUUUUGGUUUAAAAGAGGAACUGCAUUUGUACUGUUGUUUUGAGAGCCUUUGAGAAGUUUAAAAUCAUUUGAAAACACAUCAAGAACUGUUCAAAUGCUUUGGUUGGCAAACCCUAAAGUCUGCUCUGAGGUAAGAAAUUAAGGCUAAGUAACAGAAACUUCGGGAAUCACCCUAGAUGUAGAGCUAAAAAAAAUAUUGCUAAUUUUCAGAACAUCUCAAUGAUUCAGAAUCUAUUAGACGCUGUCUUAGAAGGAGAUGGACACCUACCAUUUCUCACCAAAAAUGUAAAUUAAAUUUCGAAGUUUUGGCUUAAGUGCCAGAAGUCAGGAGAAAAAGCAGGGCCAUGAUAUAACUGCUGUUAGUCUGUGUUAGAUGAAAACGCGGGAAGUCCCUUCUGUUACUACGCCAUCUUUCACAUGAUCAUUUUAUUUGCAUGGCAUCAUUGUGUCCUCUGACCCAGUCGGAACCUAAGCACAGCUCUUGAAAGGCCCAGUGCUCCCUCUGGUUCUUGUACUGCUGAGUUAUAAUCUGAGGGCAGUCUCUCAACCUCAGUCUUACAACCUGUAUGGCAUUGGGUCCUGGCUUUCUGAUACUGUGCCUCCGUUAGUGGCGAGUGAUAGCAAUAGUCAGUUGGAGCAUGAACCCUGGAAUGCCCGUAAAAGACAGGAAGUAGUGGUUAUUGUUUACGGAACCAUGACUAAUGAAAGAUCUCCUCUGUGGUUAAAUGAUGGUAGCACUUGGGUGUAAAAGCCCAUGAAGACACAAAACACACCUUGGAUCUGUGCCAGGGGAAGUUAAUAUUGUAAGGUUUGCAGAGUGAAAUAAACAUUUGUCUAGGCGUCACCCGUUCUUUCAACAAGAUGUAUCAAACAUCUGCGAGGGAGAAGAUACCAUGUGCUUUGAGGCACAUGGAGAGCGAUCAGAUGGACGUGCUGUCCUCUGGGCGCUUACAGAGGAUAUUGACAAGGGACGUGCAAUAGAUAAUCAAGGGCAACAUGAAGGUAUAAGAUAAAAGUUAAUGUAUUUUUACUAUUUAUUUAUUUAUUUUUGGCCCCAUCUGCAGCCUGCAGAAGUGCCUGGGCUAGGGAUCGAACCUGCGCCACAACAGAGACAUUGUCAAGUCCUUGACUGCUGGGCCACUGGGAGACCCCUAAAAAAAGGGUAUUGGUCAUGUGUGUAGAAGAGAUAGAAAGGCUAAGGCAGUUCAGAGGAAGGAAGCUUUACUUUCAGAAGUGAGACACGGCAUGGAGCACCUGGAAUGUGUUUUGGGUUCCCAAGAAUAUGUGACCUUUGAAUAUGAGGAGAAAGAAUAAUGGAAAUUCCAGGGUAAAGAUGGACAAAGUCCUGAAAUGGAGAAGAGUAGGACAGAGAUGGUGAACACGGAGUAGCUCGGUUUUGCCUCAUUGGAGGCACUACGAUGCUGUACUGUGAAAAGAAAGAGGUUUGAGGAAAUACAGGGACAGCACAUAUCCAAUAUCCAGUUUUCAGUAUGUAAUGUAAUGGUUAAGCACAAGGUCUUGAAAGAAAAACAGGUUCUUUGUUUAAUUGCUGGUUCUUGCAUUGGCUGCUGUCACAAAGGUUUAGUCAAGUUGCUUCUGAGACUCAGUUUCUGCAUCUGUAAAGUAAGGGUAAUUUAGCAAAAUUCAUGAUUUUGAAGUGAAUAAUCAAAAAAUGCAUGACAAGUGCCAAGCAUAUAGUAAAUACGUAAUACUCAUUAUAGACACAUAGGUUAAUAAAUGCAGUAGGGAGUUGGUAAUGCUAAGACCGAAGCUGUGCUUCUGAACCAGGAAAGCAGCUUUGAACACGUCAUUUGGGUGAAACAUAGACUACUGGGAAAAGCAACUGGGGUGCAGAGAUCAGCAGUAGAGUCCUUGCUUGUUGCUCAGGCAAGGGUCUGAGCUGGAGUGAUCGCAAACAUGUAAAAUGUCAGAGGCAGGUGCAAAAGAUUUAGCUACAUCGCAGGUAGGGUUUAGCCCUUGACCUUGGAUGCAUGAUCUUGGGGGUCAAGGACGGCAGCAUUUAAAAAAAAAUUAUUUUAUUGUUUUGUUUUUUAAUAUAGUGACUUUUAUUUUUUCGUUAUAGCUGGUUUACAGUAUUCUGUCAAUUUUCUACCGUACAGCAUGGAGACGCAGUUACCCGUACAUGUGUACCUUCUCUUUUCUCACAUUAUCAGGCUCGGAUGGCAGCAUUUUAUGCGCGCUAAUUCCUGAAUCAUUUUUUCAUGAAAGAAAAAUACUAAAGAGAUAGCAGCAUCUCCAUUUAGGAAUAGAUUUAGUCAUAUUACUUUUAAUAUUGUUUAGAUUUAUUGAUUAUUUGCCUUUCCUUGGAACUUCUUAAAAGGCAAGUUAAAAGCUCAAUAUGAAAGAAAGAAAUAUGACAUUGAGUCAUCAAAAUACGGUGAGAAUAGAGAUGAGGAGUUUUCUGCUCACUUAGCCUGCAGGGAGGUUCUGAGUCAUAGUUCUUUCCAAGCUAAAUGACUCAGAGUCAUUACUUAGUUGAUGCAAAUCACUCUUUAUUGGGGGAGGGGAGUGGACAGGGAGGGUGUUUGGUGCAAGACAGUACUUGGAAGGUAACAUGAUAAAAGCUAAUGAAGCUUAUGCCGAAUGGCGUCUCACACUGGCCUCCUCCAAACGUCUUGACAUUAACUGUACAUUUGUAAUUUUGAAUUAUUCAUCUUAAUGAGAUCCUCAUAUUGCAUAAUUUUAGGAGCCACAAAACUCAGACUCAUCCCUGGAAAUAAUCAUGAGUUGUUAACCUGUAGUCACUGCAUAGGUUUCAGAUGGCUCAAGAGUCCUUGGAAGCUGUAGGCGACCCUUUGUGUCCAGAACCGUUCGUCCUUUGAGUGGGCUUAAAGAGGUCAUCAGGUUUUCCAAGGGGGCUGAAAACAAGCACAACAUUAAGAACUUCAGGGGGAAAAAAGGGAAACGGGGAUAAGGAGUGAGGUGGGCAUGAGGAGGGAUGGGAAAUGGCGAUUAGAACAAGACGUACUUAAAGGGUCCCCAGAUAAUUCUCAUUGGCGUUCAGCUUGGAAAAACACUGAUCCAGCUAGUACUUAGCGUUUUUGAACUGUGUUGGAAUGUUUAAGAAGAAAGAAUCAAGAUUUUAUGGCCAAAAAAUCAUGUUUUGACACCUAUGACUGCUUGGGCAAAAUACUUAGCCUCUCUGAGCUUUAAUUUCUACCUGAGGAAAAUCAGUAUAUGAUGAGUAUGAGCCAUGUGUUCUAGGGUAGGAAAAGGGGAAAAGUGAGGAGCAUAACUGAGCUUGAAAAUGGUAGCGUCAGUAGGUAGGAGGCCAUGGUGAUGUCAGUAGUUGUUGGACGCAGGUUUUAAAUGAUAUGAAUGAGAAAGUGACUUUGAGGAAGGGAAGAAAGGAUGAGAGGUGGUAACUCCAGGAUGUCCAAAGCAGCUAUUAAGUGGGUGCAGCCAUUAGUGAUGACGGGAUCUAGGGCAUAACCCCAGGAGUAGAUGACUGAGUUUACACACAGGAGAUUUUUGGAGAUGAGGCAGAAUGAGUUAAUUGGUCAAGGAAUUGGAAAGAUUUUCUAAGUGGUUAUUGAAAUUGGCAAGAAAGAUGAAGAGAGGUAGGCUCAGAUUCUGUAUACAUUUAUUUUUUCCAUGCUAAGAAUAUUCUUUAGUUUUCCCAUUUUUAGAAAUAAAAUAAUAACUCAUAAAGUGUUACCUUAAAGUGUUACAUCAAAAAGUUAAAUUGUCGUCAUAUAAAGAAAAAUAAAUCAGUGACCCAUUUUGGUUCAUCAUUUCACUCUCUCCUUCCCCACACACGAGGUAAAUGAUGAGGAUGUUAUUAGUCUUAGCAUUAAUCAUUCAGCCUAUUUUUAAGUAAUAUUAUUGAAUAAUGGGGAAAUUAUUUAGUGAUUUAUUGUCAGUUGGCACAGCUGUCAGAUUCUAUGGAACACUUUCUCAAUGCUGAGACAAAGAUUCAGCAUAAUACUGGAAUGGCCUCUAAUGGCUUAGCUGGUUAAAAAAAAAAAAUCCUAUUCAGUCAGGAUUUUGCAGAUUGCAGGAAAAAAUCCUCAUGGGUCUUCUUGUGUCUUAGGUCUCUUAAUGUGCCCUUUGGUGUUACAUAAAAGUGAAACGAUUAAAGAAGAAUUCUCCCCGGGUUUCCAAAGUGCCUUGCUGACACAGCUGGUGUGCAGGUCUUUGUGACAGAGCCUGUUACAGAAAGGGUGGUGCAUCUACUGAGGCCAACGCCCUUUUGUCCUCCAACCAGCUAAGCCCUCAAGCAGCUGAUGAGGUGCUCAGCUUCCUGAACUUGUCAUUUCUGAAGGUCUCCUUACUUCAUGCAAGAAUUUGCCAGUUACUUUCUGCUCCUUCAUGCUCCCUCUAACAUCCCCACUCUGAGUCAACUAAAUAUUUUUAAAAAUAAGAAUACCUGUUGGUUUUCCUACUGUUUAAAUUCUUUAGGAGCCAUAUAUUAAAUUCUUGCUGCUGUGCUAUUCAGGACAUUUUAAUUCUUUACCUGCCCAGCUCUGCCUGACAUACUUACUCACCUCAGCCAAGAAACUGCUCCAGUGGGAAAAAGAUUGUGUUGAACUCUGUCCCAUUUGACAAGCAAUAAAUGCGAUCCUUAAAGGGGGACGACCAAUGUUUUCCUGCUGAAUAUUGUGCAAACAAAUAAAGCUUUAAGUGUGCGAAAUCAAGUUUCCAGUUUUUUAGGUGAUUGUGACAAUGCAGCACUUGUCCCUUCUAAAACAAAUGUCCUUUCUUAAAACACAGUGAAGUAGUUAGAUCAUAUUUGGUCAAACACUCGUUGCCAAUUAUGUAUUUGCUUACAGUUCUUUGAUAAGUGUGACAAAAGUUCGUUUUCAAAAAAGGAUUUAGAGAAUUUUAUGUGAAGUGAAUUUUUAUUUAUGUAGAGGACUUUAGUAUUUUUCAAGUAUACCACAUGUGCUACCGUGACUAACUGGGUCUCAAAAACACUCAAUAAACUGAUUUAUUAUUAUUUCUACUUUGCGCAGAUAUGAAAACAGAGAAUCAGGGAAAUUAAGGGAUUUGACUAAUUCAUUUAGGGUUAAUAUAAAAUUGUUCUUGAUAUUCAGUCAUUUACUCUUUGCAUUUUUAUAUCACCAAAUUUUGAAACUCCAUAGUCAUUCCUACAGAUACUCUUUACGUGUAUAUAUAUAUAUACAUAUAUAUAUAUAUACACACAUAUAUAUGGUACUUGUGUAUUCCUGAAAUUUGUACAUCCUAUGUUUUUAAGGAAAUCAUAUUUUAAAUGUGCAGAUAUUACUCGUUAUUUAACUAAAUUCUGACAUGAAGUUUGGCAAAUUUAAAAAUGUUUUUUAAGCGUGACUCACUCAUUCUGCAUAACUACAAUACAAAUUACAAACAACAUCCUACAUAACUUAUGGAAGUAAUUUUACCCAGUGGGUGGUGAAUAUAUUUAUCUUUCUUUUUUCUUUGUAAACAAAACUCAGGUCAUUUUAUACAUAUUGCAUUAUAAUUUGCAUUUCCUACGAUAUGAAACAGAAUGACAUUUUACAUUUGUCUACACUUUGUUUCUAAGAGGAAAUGUUUUCUAAACCAUUCUAUUAAUAUCUCUCUAUUCCUUUAUGCCGCCUCUAGACAUUUAAACAAGCUCCAAAAGUGGCCCUUGUAUGUUCUGUCUUGUUUCAGACGUUUAUUAAUAUCGUCAAAGCUAUUUCUUUUUAAUUUCUUUUUAAAAUGUCAGAUAUUUUUUAAUU